rnacentral:snRNA from 1 species
AUACUUGCCUGAUAGGAGAGAUAACAUGAUCUUGAAGGUGAUUUUCCCAGAGUAAGGCUUAUCCAUUGUACUCUAGAUGUGAAUAGAAGAUGGUCCAUCUAGGGCAGGCUCACAUUUAUUCUCAGACUUGAUUCUGCAGUAACUGCUGCACACUGUACAAAGAAGC